rnacentral:rRNA from 1 species
GACGAACGCUGGCGGCGUGCUUAACACAUGCAAGUCGAACGAUGAAGCUGGAGCUUGCUCUGGCGGAUUAGUGGCGAACGGGUGAGUAACACGUGAGAAGUCUGCCCUUGGCUCUGGGAUAACUGCGGGAAACUGUAGCUAAUACCGGAUACUUUCCCUGGUGGGCAUCCACUGGGGAAGAAAGAAUUUCGGUCAAGGAUGAUCUCGCGGCCUAUCAGCUUGUUGGUGAGGUAAUGGCUCACCAAGGCGACGACGGGUAGCCGGCCUGAGAGGGUGACCGGCCACACUGGGACUGAGACACUGCCCAGACUCCUACGGGAGGCAGCAGUGGGGAAUAUUGCACAAUGGGCGCAAGCCUGAUGCAGCAACGCCGCGUGAGGGAUGAAGGCCUUCGGGUUGUAAACCUCUUUUAGCAGGGAAGAAGCGAAAGUGACGGUACCUGCAGAAAAAGCACCGGCUAACUACGUGCCAGCCGCCGCCGUAA